UCAUCGAUGGACUGUAGAGCUAGAAGU
rnacentral:misc_RNA from 1 species